AGCAGCCGCGGUAAUUCCAGCUCCAAUAGCGUAUAUUAAAGUUGUUGCAGUUAAAAAGCUCGUAGUUGAAUUUCGGGAUCAAGGAAUCGGUCAUGCCUUGGUAUGUACUGGUUUUAUUGGUUCUCACCUUCUAAAGAACCAUAAUGUCAUUUAUUUGAUGUUAUGGGGAAUUAGGACUGUUACCUUGAAAAAAUUAGAGUGUUUAAAGCAAGCUUACGCUUGAAUACAUUAGCAUGGAAUAAUGAAAUAGGACAUCAGAUUCUAUUUUGUUGGUUUCUAGGAUCGAUGUAAUGAUUAAUAGGGAUAGUUGGGGGCAUUAGUAUUCAAUUGUCAGAGGUGAAAUUCUUGGAUUUAUUGAAGACUAACUACUGCGAAAGCAUUUGCCAAGGAUGUUUUCAUUAAUCAAGAACGAAAGUUAGGGGAUCGAAGACGAUCAGAUACCGUCGUAGUCUUAACCAUAAACUAUGCCGACUAGGGAUCGGAUGAUG
rnacentral:rRNA from 1 species